UACGGAGGGUGCGAGCGUUGUCCGGAAUUACUGGGCGUAAAGCGUGCGCAGGCGGCUUCUCAAGUCAGUGGUGAAAGCCCGGAGCUCAACUCCGGAACUGCCAUUGAAACUGUGGAGCUUGAGGACGAGAGAGGUGAGUGGAAUUCCCAGUGUAGAGGUGAAAUUCGUAGAUAUUGGGAAGAACACCGGUGGCGAAGGCGGCUCACUGGCUCGUUUCUGACGCUCAGGCACGAUAGCGUGGGGAUCAAACAGG
rnacentral:rRNA from 1 species